rnacentral:lncRNA from 1 species
UUAAGUUUUUGUGUUUUGGUCUAUUUUUCUUAAACUAUAAGUAAUAGGUCAACUAUAUAUGUUGUAUAGAAGCAUUGUUAGUUGUACAUGUCUGCCUGGCAUGGUUCAUCUGACCUUGACCUCAUUUUCAAGGUUCAUUGGUCUUUGUUUAGUUAUCUUGGUUAAUGUUAAGUUUAUGUGACAGUUGUAAUAAAGCUUAGCUUUAUACUUAGGACUAUCAACAUAAUAUCAAUGAUUAGUAUAGAAGGCGAGG